rnacentral:rRNA from 1 species
UCGGCCUACGGGACGCAGCAGUAGGGAAUCUUCCACAAUGGACGAAAGCCUGAUGGAGCAACGCCGCGUGGGUGAAGAAGGUCUUCGGAUCGUAAAACCCUGUUGUUAGAGAAGAAAGUGCGUGAGAGUAACUGUUCACGUUUCGACGGUAUCUAACCAGAAAGCCACGGCUAACUACGUGCCAGCAGCCGCGGUAAUACGUAGGGGGCAAGCGUUAUCCGGAUUUACUGGGUGUAAAGGGAGCGCAGACGGCAGCGCAAGUCCGGGGUGAAAGCCCGCGGCCCAACCGCGGGACUGCCCUGGAA